rnacentral:lncRNA from 1 species
GGCUUUGUACGAUCUACCAUACAGUUGUAGGAUGAGCUAUGCUCUCCGCUCCCAUCUAACAUAGGUAUCUUAUAGUUUACCACAUCGGAUAAAAAACUGACUGCUGCAAUACCUGCCCGAACAAACUGGUCUGAAAUGGGAGGUGAGGACUGCACGGCAUUCUCAGCAUCAAUGCUACCAUAUAUAACAGAUUCUACUCGCCCAGACACGGUAGAUGCGGGUAUAGCCUGUGGCCUAGAAGCUGGAGAAUCCAAAGGAUGGGAGGCGAGGACUGCACGGAGGUCUCAGCAUCAAUGCUAGCAUAAAUAACAGAUUCUACUCGCCCAGACACAGUAGAUGCGGGUAUGGCCUGUGGCCUAGAAGCUGGAGAAUCCAAAGUCUCAUUUUUUUUCGAGCUCACAGCCUUUACAGCAUCUCCAGAUAAUAAGGUACCUAC